rnacentral:lncRNA from 1 species
CUGCUUUUUAAGGCUCUGGCUGUAGAUGUAUUAUUCCCUUUGAAGAGUCUGCAAAUGUGUUAAAACUUCAGCAACAAAUUGUGACUAUUGAAAAUGCAGAGAAGGAAAAAAAUGAAAAUUCUGACCUAAAACAGCAAAUCAGUAGUUUGCAGAUCCAAGUGACUUCACUUGCACAGUCAGAGAAUGACUUGCUGAAUUCAAACCAAAUGCUGAAGGAAAUGGUGGAGAGAUUAAAACAAGAAUGCCGAAAUUUUAGAAGCCAAGCUGAAAAAGCGC